rnacentral:ncRNA from 2 species
CGCGUGCUCCGGGGUCGGUGCAAUUCCGAACCGGCGGUGACAGUCCGCGACCCGAACCCCUCCGGGGGUGAGGUUGAACCGGUGGAACUCCGGUACCGACGGUGAAAGUCCGGAUGAGAGGCGCACGCC